UACGGAGGGUGCAAGCGUUGUCCGGAUUUAUUGGGUUUAAAGGGAGCGUAGGCGGUCUUUUAAGUCAGUGGUGAAAUCCUCCAGCUUAACUGGAGAACUGCCAUUGAUACUGAAAGACUUGAGUACAGACGAGGUAGGCGGAAUUGACAGUGUAGCGGUGAAAUGCAUAGAUAUUGUCAAGAACUCCGAUUGCGAAGGCAGCUUACUAGACUGUAACUGACGCUGAGGCUCGAAAGUGUGGGGAUCAAACAGG
rnacentral:rRNA from 1 species